GAUGAACGCUGACAGAAUGCUUAACACAUGCAAGUCAUUGGCGAAGCUGCGCUUGCGCAGUCUAGCCAAGGCGGACGGGUGAGUAACGCGUAAGGAACUUGCCCUGCAGACAGGGAUAACAGACGGAAACGACUGAUAACACCUGGUAUUGUCAGGCUGGCGCAUGCCGGCCUGAUGAAAGGAGACGCUGCAGGAGAGCCUUGCGUCCUAUUAGCGAGUUGGUGGGGUAACGGCCCACCAAGGCGAUGAUAGGUAGCCGGCCUGAGAGGAGGAACGGCCACAAGGGGACUGAGAUACGGCCCUUACUCCUACGGGAGGCAGCAGUGGUGAAUAUUGGACAAUGGUGGCAACCCUGAUCCAGCAAUUCUGUGUGCACGAAGAAGGUUUUCGGAUUGUAAAGUGCUUUCAGCAGGGAAGAAGAAAGUGACGGUACCUGCAGAAGAAGCGACGGCUAAAUACGUG
rnacentral:rRNA from 1 species